GCAGACAUAUUCCAGCCAAUCAGCAGCAGACCCUCCCUCCCAGACCCUCCCACCUCCUUGACAGCUCACUAAGAAUGCAGCUUCACAAUGAAUGUAAAAUGGAUGCUGUCCAGGUGGUGGGAGGGUCUGGGAGGGAGGGUCUGCUGCUGAUUGGCUGGAAUGUGUCUG